rnacentral:rRNA from 1 species
GGUUGCGAUCAUACGAGCACUAAUGCACCGGAUCCCAUCAGAACUCCGCAGUUAAGCGUGCUUGGGCGAGAGUAGUACUAGGAUGGGUGACCCCCUGGAAGUCCUCGUGUUGCAACCC